AUACUUACCUGGCACUGGGGCAUGCCUUGAUCAGCAAGGAGGCUCCCCCGAGCAGAGGCCUCUCAUUGCACUCUGAGGGGUUGACGUUCGCCACAUCCGCAAAUUGCGGUUGCUUGGGGUGCAUAAUUUUUGGUAGCUGGGACUGCGUACGCGCUGUCCCUGC
rfam:Stegodyphus mimosarum contig123926, whole genome shotgun sequence.